CCUGAGGGGGAGACAGCAUCCCUGGGGCUCGGGCGGGGUCCCUGGGGGUCGAGCGGGGUCCCCUGAGUCAGACUGUCCCUAGGGUAGGACAGUGUCCCUGGGGGUGGGACAGGGUUCCCGCAGGUCAGGAAGGGACCCUUUGGGGGCACAGGGAGCCUGGGGGCAGGCAGGGUGCCCAGGGGUUGGGCAGGGUCCCCGGGGGUGGGACAGGGUUCCCGCGGGUCAGGCAGGGUCCCCGGGGCAGCGGGAUGGGGCACGGGGCGCUGAGUGGUGCAGAGAUCCCUUGCGGGUACCACUUUGGCGCUCCAGCCAUCGUGAUGCCCGCGCACAGCAAAGCCACGGGCCGCUUUCUGGGGACCAGGGAGAGGGGUCCUCGUGGCGGCAUGGCUCCUUUGGCCGUGACGGCUGGCUCCCAGCAACGUGAUGGUCUCGGGACGCCAGGUCUCUGUGGAGGAGUGAUGUUUUUUCCUUAGCGCAAGAUAAACAGCUGGGAAGUGGGCGCUGGUGGCAGAACUGGUUAACACGACUAGUCCUGCUCCGAGCUAUUGUUCUCUGGUGGUGUUGAGCUUUGCAGGCUUCUGCUGCUAUUUCAGGCCUGCUGAAGGGCUCGUGUACCCAACAGCAUGCCUGUUUUUCUUCUAAUUAUUCCAGUCAGUCUAAAAAAAGAGAUUACCUCCCUCUGCAAACCUUGCCUCCAUUGUUCUCAGCAGAAAAGAUAAGACGGGGGAGAAGGCAAGGAGAGGAAAAGCGUUGACCGCAGUUACCUCCAGAUUGAAUCCUGUCUGCAUAGGUAUUGCCACCGCUCUGGGCCAGACCAGCAGACAGCGGCUGCUGAGCAGAGAUGCAGAAGAUGCCAGAGCACCCGUCCGGGAGGGCUGCUCCCCUCCAGCAGCAGCCUGCAACAAAGCGAGAAACGAGUUUUCACUCCGCUCCCCGGUGUGUGCGCUACCGCGGAGGGCACCGGAGGAAAGGCUUCGCUCGCGCUUCUCACAUCUGCAAGAUAAGAAGUUACCGCAAACUUCUCGGGCUGGCAGGAAGAUGCGCCGGGGCCUUGAGAGCUACGCGGUGAGAGCGGCCGAGCCGAGGCGGCAGAGGGGGUGGAAAGCGCCCGCUGAUCCGCCAGGGCAGGAACGGAGGGCGUGCUCGAGCGUUCGCCCUCGGCCGACGAGGUCUUGAAAGGUUCCAGCUAACGGCGGGGGGCGGGGGGCGGGGGCGCGGCUCGGCUCUGCAGCGGGCCCCUGGGCGCGAGCCCUCUUCUCGUCCUGCUCCUGCCAGCGUGCGAGAACGGCCGGAGCUGAUCCAGGAGCUCCUGAGGAUAACGACGCGCAAAUAGUUAUUAGCGGUAAUUAGAAAAAAAGACACCGACGGCGUGUUCACAUCGGCGGAGCGCUGGGUUUGGCCGAGGCUCUCCGAGGUGACACCCUUGUUGCGUAAACGCUCUCCGUGGCCUCCCAGGCUCCUUCUCCCGCGGCUCAUAGCGACGCUGUGCAAGGAAAGCAGGGAUAUAAGUGCAGGCAGCGGCACGGGGAAGCCUGGAGAGCAGCAGGCUGGUUGUGAGCGUUCGAGCGUUUCAGAUUCUCAUCCGUCUUUCACACCAGGCUCCUUUGAAAGAUUUGACCAGAAGAUUAGGGAUCGCCGUCGUAACUCGGAGCUGUCGCCGAGUCCGGGGCAGUUCUCCGCUGCGUAACAUCAGACGGGUGCGGGCUUGAAAUCACGGAGCCGUUCCCUUUGCUUAAUUCUCCAAAUA
rnacentral:lncRNA from 1 species